UUUUUUUUUUUUUUUUUAGACAGAGUUUCGCUCUUAUUGCCCAGGCUGGAGUGCAAUGGCGUGAUCUCGGCUCACUGCAACCUCCGCCUCCCGGGUUCAAGCCAUUCUUCUGCCCCAGCCACUUGAGUAGGUGGGAUUAAGGCAUGCGCCACCACACCCAGCCAAUCUGUAUUUUUAGAGACGGGGUUUCUCCAUGUUGGUCAGGCUAGUCUCAAACUCCUGACCUCAGGUCAUCUGCCCACCUCGGCCUCCCAAAGUGCUGGGAUUACAGUUGUGAGCCACCACGCCUGGCACAAACUUCUAAAUAAAGAUGAAAACACUUCUAAUAAUAAACACUGAAAUAAAUGUGAACUAUACAUACAUUUAAGAAAGAUUGAUUAAAAACAAGUAAAAUAAUUAUUUAUCUGCCUAUCCUGGCUGCAGCUCAGGGCACAGGGUGGGACUCACACUGUUUCACUGUGUAGCCUAUUUGCCUUUUUCCUCCUCUUUGGUGGUGUACUUCUAGCAGUAAAUUUUACACUAACAUCUUUAUGUAAUAUUCUCUUUCCUUAAAUACUGUUGGUUUCUUAAUACAGGGCCAAUUUUGAAAUUGCUUCUUACCCUGCUCCUUCUCUCUCACCAUGUAGCCACUAGCUUUAUCCUAGUGUCAAUGUGUGUACUUGUUUGUAUUUUGUUUGGUUUUUUUUUGAGACGGAGUCUCACUCUGUCGCCCAGGCUGGAGUGCAGUGGCCGGAUCUCAGCUCACUGCAAGCUCCGCCUCCUGGGUUCACACCAUUCUCCUGCCUCAGCCUCCCAAGCAGCUGGGACUACAGGUGCCCGCCACCACGCCCAGCUAAUUUUUUGUAUUUUUUAGUAGAGACGGGGUUUCACCGUGUUAGCCAGGAUGGUCUCGAUCUCCUGACCCACCUUGGCCUCCCAAAGUGCUGGGAUUACAGGCGUGAGCCACCGUGCCAGGCCACUUGUUUUUAUUUCUUGAUUUGUCACCUUCAAGUGAUACCUUAUUUAUUUAUUUUUAAUUUUUAUUUUUUUAAGGUUACACAAUAAUUUAUUUAUUGAGGGCCUCCUCUCCCUGCCCUUGCAGUCUCUAGGUCACUUUUCCGCUUGUAGAUGUUGCACGUCAGCCCUAGAAAGAUGACUGGGGGCAGGGGCACUGCGUCCUGUUCAGUGAGACCCAUAAUGUGGCUGUAACUGUCUUCCUAGUAUUGCAAGAACACGGCCGGCAGGUCCGGCUCCUCAUACAGUCUUCACCGGGGCCACCUUCUCGGCCUCCUUCUGCCCGUAAUUCUCCUUCAGGAUCUGCUACUGUUCCGGAGUGGCCCGUUGCAGACACUGAACCACCAGCCAGCUGCAUUUGUUGUCCUGUUUGUCAGUGCCAACUUUGCCGGUCACACUGGGGUCCCCAAAAGAGGUCAAGGUAAUCAUCCUGAAUCUGAAAGAACUCUCCCUCUCCCAUCUCCAGCAGGAUCUUCUUGGCAUUGGUGUGCUCCUUCUCACCAUCAAUGCCUGCCAUGUACAUGGCUGCAGCUACAGGAAGGCAGAAGGAGUAGAAAGCUGCCUUGUACUUGACACUAGAUUUGUACCUCUUUUCAGUGAAUCUGCCAAGAUCUGCAUUGCCCUGGGGGGCUGUGAUGAGGUCCAGGGUCUGUCCAAUCUCAGUCUGAUAGAAACUCUGCAAGAAGAGCUGGAUCAGGUUCAGGUAAUAGGGCUGCUCCUGGCAACAGAGCUUCAGCAGGCAGUAGAUACAUGCUUCCCUUCCAGAAGCAUAGCAUCAUUGAUGUAGCAUCACUGAUGGCGUCCAAACCCACGCCCGGCUUCUGUAACCAGCAGAUCUGUCCCCAGCGGUGAGGGAUGAAUCCGUGAUGUCAUCUGCCACCAGGAAGAAAGCUUGCAGCAGUUCCACACACCAGCCCACAGUCAGGGCCCGCUGGAGACUCUCAGCAUCCUGUUUCCUCAGCUCCACC
ensembl:lncRNA